AUUGAACGCUGGCGGCAGGCCUAACACAUGCAAGUCGAACGGUAACAGGGAUCAGCUUGCUGAUUCGCUGACGAGUGGCGGACGGGUGAGUAAUGUCUGGGAAACUGCCUGAUGGAGGGGGAUAACUACUGGAAACGGUAGCUAAUACCGCAUAACGUCGCAAGACCAAAGAGGGGGACCUUCGGGCCUCUUGCCAUCGGAUGUGCCCAGAUGGGAUUAGCUAGUAGGUGGGGUAACGGCUCACCUAGGCGACGAUCCCUAGCUGGUCUGAGAGGAUGACCAGCCACACCGGAACUGAGACACGGUCCAGACUCCUACGGGAGGCAGCAGUGGGGAAUAUUGCACAAUGGGCGCAAGCCUGAUGCAGCCAUGCCGCGUGUAUGAAGAAGGCCUUCGGGUUGUGAAGUACCUUCAGCGGGGAGGAAGGGAGUAAAGUUAAUACCUUUGCUCAUUGACGUUACCCGCAGAAGAAGCACCGGCUAACUCCGUG
rnacentral:rRNA from 1 species